AGGAGGAGGAAAGCAGAGCCGGGGAGCUCCAGGGCUUGUCAAGCUGGAGUUUGGGCCUUGGGAGAUGCUCCUUGUGUGCUUCUGUAGAAAAAGUUUCUUCUCCCUCUCUGAUAAUCUUCUUUGACGAUCACACGUAGCCAAGGCUCGUAGCUGGAUGAGGAACCCUGUGUUUGGGCAGAUCCCUCGGUUUGAAUCCACCGAUUUUAAGGCCUCCACGAGUGUCAGGUUUUCAUGGAUCAUCAAAUAAGCCAGCACUAAAGUGGCUGAGCGGCUUAACCCCAUGGCACAGUGGACAAAUACCUUGCCUGCAGAGAAAUAACAAAAGAACAGCAUUUAACUGAUGUGGAACAUAGAAGGUUAAGACCAGCGCUUCCCUCCCCACCCCACCCCAGCCGGAACUCAUUGCAACUCAGUUCUGGCUCCUCUCAGGUACACCCGUCUGAAGAUACCCUGGAAAACCAUUGAAGAGUCCAUGAUGGAGGCAGAAUGAGACUCUAUACAACACCCAGGGCCAAUGAUGAGAUGCAGUUCCUUCUGCUAAUUCUAUGUACUGGUGGUGAGCUUAAAAGCCCUGCAUUGGGUUAUCAUAAAAAGACAUCUACAAUGAGACACGAGUUACACAUGUUUAUGUAAAGUCAGCAUUGGCCAAUGAGAAGGUAAAGAUCAAGGUAAAGGACGCCUGGACAGUUAAGUCCAGUCAAAGUCCAGUCAAAGGUGACUAUGGGUUGCGGUGCUCAUCUUGCUUCAGGCCGAGGGAGCCGGCAUUUGUCAACAGACAGUUUUCUCGGUCAUGUGGCCAGCAUGACUAAACUGCUUCUGGUGCAACGGAACACUGUGACGGAAACCAGAGCGCACGGAAACGCUGUUUACCUUCUUGCCACAGCGAUACGUAUUUAUCUACUUGCACUGGCGUGCUUUCGAACUGCUGGGACAGAGCAAUGGGAGCUCACCCCAUCCUGUGGAUUUGAACCGCCAACCUUCUGAUCGGCAAGCCCAAGAGGCUCAGUGGUUUAGACCACAGCGCCACCCGCAUCCCUACAACGAGAUGCUUGAGUUAUGCAUGUUUAUGUACAACUUUGGCCAGUGAGAAGAUAGGUGGUUAAUCAACUUUUAAAAUUAUCAGACUGAUUGAUAUAGCCCAAUAACUUUUUAUAUAGGAUUUGGGAGAUGGGAAUAGCUUCCUGCUUUUUUCCAAACUGGCCCUGCUUCUGCACCUUCAACUUCGGCCAGACACGGAGAAAUUAAUCAAGCAACGCUUUCCAUGCCACUAUCACUACCCUAGGAAAAGUUUCACCUGCUCCAGUGCUAAGCUGCCAUCAAACACAUAGGAAGAGGUUCCUCAAAGAGUGACAACCCCACAUGUGCCACUCCUCCUCCUUUCCUGGAGAUCUAGUAUGGGGAAGCCCAUCCCUGAGCAAGAAAGACCAAUUAAGCAAAGCAUCCUUAAGUAGCUUUAAGCCCCUUGCUAAAUGCGGCAAGAUUAAAGGGAACAGCAGCAGCUUUGGGCCCACGCAGCUGGCAACCCAGU